AUGGGUUGCAGUUUGGCUGACCAGAAGUGGGAGAUAUGGUUUCAUUUAGAAGGAAGAAACCCUGUGAAAAGUGGUAUAUUUGAGUCAGAUAUUUCUUUGCUUACUCUACAAUCACUCAUUUCUAGUGAAGGGUAUGGGGACAGUGAUUACAUGUACUAUGUGAAGGAGGAGGAAAUUGGAUCUGAAAGAGUAAAGUAUUUAGGUAAUGAAGCUAGUGUUCAUGAAAUGUUGGAAUUUUUUCAUCAUGUCAAGCUAGUGAACAUAAAGGUUGUGAGAAAUGUUGAACCUGGAAUUAGUACACAGGCUAAUGAGAAUUACAUGAACACUCAAGAGAGCUGCUGUGUGAAAAUGGUUGUGGAGCAAUCUGAGCUUUAG
rnacentral:rRNA from 1 species